rnacentral:piRNA from 1 species
UGGGUAGGAAUGCGCUGCCGGGCUGC